UACGGGGGGAGCAAGCGUUGUUCGGAUUUACUGGGCGUAAAGGGCGCGUAGGCGGUCGUGACAAGUCACUUGUGAAAUCUCCGGGCUUAACUCGGAACGGUCAAGUGAUACUGUCGGACUAGAGUACAGAAGGGGCAACUGGAAUUCUCGGUGUAGCGGUGAAAUGCGUAGAUAUCGAGAGGAACACCUGCGGCGAGGGUGGGUUGCUGGGCUGAUACUGACGCUGAGGCGCGAAAGCCAGGGGAGCGAACGGG
rnacentral:rRNA from 1 species